AUCCAGCUGACGAGUCCCAAAUAGGACGAAAUGCGGAGCUGGAU
rnacentral:hammerhead_ribozyme from 1 species